AAGUUGCACAACAAAGUCGAAUGGAGGCCAAGCGUCUUCAAUCGAAAUGGAUCGCCUGUAAGUAUAUUUAUUUUCACGCACUGUCCAAAGGGCGAUCCAGUGAUGAUAUAUGGACACUGAAGAAACCACAGCUAAGCUCGCCAGAAGUGCCUAAGCACAUAUAUUGGAAUCAAGGCUAAUGGCAGAGUUUCACUUUCUGACGCAAGGAAAAGAAAAGCGCUACGUGUGAUUUAGACAAAAGGGAGUUAGGACAGUAAGUCUUAUGCCAAAACAGUUUGUGUCAUGUUGCACUUGAAACUGCCUAGUCUACAUUGUGUCCUUUGGUGAAGUCAGAGACACUGUGAAGAAUGAUUGUGGCAUCAAGAUACACCUUUUUCUCAGCUGCUAGGAUGCUGUGUGAAGAGGAGGGGUAAGUAUACGGUGAGUAUGAGCUUCCACUGUACACUGUGUAACUAGUCUUUUUCAUGGUAGCUAGAAAUUCAAAAAGACUACUGCCUUAUGUCAUGCAUUAGUAUUAUAUCUCCAGCCACUUUUUCUAUGUCAACACAUGUCAUCUUUUAUUAUAUAUUUAAGUUACAGAAAUGGGGAUUCCUUGUUGUUAUUAGAUUUUUUGUUAAAGGUUUGCAGACGGUUUUGAUUUUUGUCAGUAAUGCUUGUUAACCAAUUGUUUUUUCAUAAAAAAAUGCAAAAUAAUAUAAUAAUAAUUAUAAUAAUUGUAUAGUAACAGAAUCAGGUUAAAGAUAUGUAUUAAUCACCUAUGUUGUUUCCUCUCUCUCAAGACCAGAAGGACAAACUCAUCUGAUGAGGUGCUCUGCUUUCUGUGAUCUUCUUGGCUGAGAUAUGGUAAAUGCAAUUACUCUAAAGACUAGGAAAGUGGAAGGAAGACACUGAACUUCAAAUUUACCAAGUAAGUUGAGAAGAAUUCCAGAGCCACACAGCAUACUGCAGUGUCAGCAAGAAAGAUCUCAUGGGUUCCAUGUGGACAUGAUGGACAUGUUAAGUUUGACUAGUUGAUGAGAGAAAAAAAAGGGAAUAGGAACACUUUUGCACCUACCCACAUUACUUUCAAAACAACUGAGAUUAGUUACAGGGCAGUGGCAACUUCACACUUUUAUUGAUGGAUUCUGAAGACCAUUACCAGAUGUAUAAUAAUCAAAUAUCAUCAGAAAUGAAGGGCACGUUAAUUAUUCCAAAGAGUGAAAGUAGUACAAAUCAAAGGAAAAUAUUUUGAUGGUAAUCAAUAUGAGCUCACUCAGAGGUCACUCGCAGGGGCCAGUCUUAACAGAAUUGACAAGGUUAUCAUCCCUGUGCUUGGCUUUAUUAAGACAUGUCAUGUAGGUGGUGAUGGAGUUAACUUUUGGAUAAUAUAUAAGGAAUUAUCUGAAUCAAUCAUCUGCUGCUAAUGUUAUACAUUCAUUAGUCACUUCUAGGCUGGGAUGUCCAGAUGAUAGGAUUAAAAGAUAACAAUGCAUCCAGAAUAUUUCAGAACAGCUUUUCAUGUAACAGCCUAGAAACUUGUCACAUUAUUCCAGUUUUAAAGCAGCUGCAUUGGUUAUCAGAUAGGGCUAGAAUUUUAAAAUAUUUAGUUUUUACACGUUGCUUUCUCUAAUGUAGCUCCAGCAUAUAUAACUGAUCUGGUAAAAAAUCAUAACUUUUACUGAAAAUUGCCAUUAUAGCAGGGUAAAAAAAUAUAUGGUGACAUGUAAUUUUGUAUAGCUUCACUGUUGGAGUAGAACAAGGUGUCAAUUUACUGAAGGCAGAUAGAAACAGAAAUCUCUUAUAAGGAAUUAAACACACAUUUUUAAAGAUGUUUUAUUGCUGAAUUUUGUUCAAUUUUUAAAAUAUACAUUAUGUAAGGGAAGUAUUGGGUCUUUUAAUUACUGCUUAGUCAAACGUUUUAACAUUUAUAAUUAAUAUAAUAUAUAUAACUGUAAUAUAUAAAUA